rnacentral:rRNA from 1 species
AGCCUGAUGCAGCGACGCCGCGUGAGGGAUGACGGCCUUCGGGUUGUAAACCUCUUUUUACUGGGAAGAAGCGAAAGUGACGGUACCUGCAGAAGAAGCGCCGGCUAACUACGUGCCAGCAGCCGCGGUAAUACGUAGGGCGCGAGCGUUAUCCGGAAUUAUUGGGCGUAAAGAGCUCGUAGGCGGUUUGUCGCGUCUGCCGUGAAAGUCCGGGGCUUAACCCCGGAUCUGCGGUGGGUACGGGCAGACUGGAGUGCAGUAGGGGAGACUGGAAUUCCUGGUGUAGCGGUGAAAUGCGCAGAUAUCAGGAGGAACACCGAUGGCGAAGGCAGGUCUCUGGGCUGUUACUGACGCUGAGGAGCGAAAGCAUGGGGAGCGAACAGGAUUAGAUACCCUGGUAGUCCAUGCCGUAAACGUUGGGCACUAGGUGUGGGGGCCAUUCCACGGUUUCCGCGCCGCAGCUAACGCAUUAAGUGCCCCGCCUGGGGAGUACGGCCGCAAGGCUAAAACUCAAAGG